CUUCGUCUCCAACCUCAAGCCCUAGAGAACCCGCCGCCCUGAAAUUAUUAAGCCAUCUCCAGUGGUGGCGUGGCCUAAUCAACCCCAAAUUCCCCGUCCACAAUUCCAACACCCCAUGAAAUAUGAAUCCAUCACCACAUAUCCUCAAAUCCCUACCAAAUUUGGCCAAUUUUAGAUCUAAAAAAAGAAGAAAAAAAAGGAGAAAUUUUCCAAAUCUUCAAGUUUAUAUGAACGAUUGGGCCUGAAACUAGUAUUGUUAGUUUGUUCUCAAAGAGAACAUGCGGUUAGUACCAAUUUUGGGUCAAAUCGGAGGUUCCUGAGGUCUGUCAAGCCAAACGUCCGUUUACUUAUUUUAGGUAACUUUAUUCACUUCUUUUCUUGUCUUUGUUUUCUUCUCUUCUUUGUUCUCAUUAUUUUUUCUCUUUUUUGACUGAUUAAAAGAACUCAGAUACGGUAAUUUGUUGUUAAUUCUUGACAAUUUAGUCAAGUGAAUUGUAAUUAAUUUUGCUUUUUCCUUUCUUUUUCUGUUUGUCUUUAUUUUUCUAGAUUUUCGAGUUAGUAUUCAAGUUUUUUUCCACUAUUAGGUCUUAGUUUUGUAUGGGUUAGAAUUUGAAAUUCAAAUGUUCAAUUGUAUUGGGUUUGGUAACUUUGUUUGAUUGGGUUUUUUUGGGUCAUCUCUGGCCUAGUUUCAAGGGAAACCCGAUUGGUUUUUGGUUGUUUUUGGAUUAAUUUGACCCAUGUGUAAUAUACUCAAGGUAAAUAUAGCUGUUUUAAGGGUAGUUUAGGGAAAUAGGGCAGGGAAAUCUUUUAUAACUGCAUAAGGAAGCUUCUAGGAAAGUAGGGGAAGGGGUUGUUUAAUAUGCAGACUAUAAAAUGAAGGUCUAAGUUGAAAAGAUGAAAAUUGGGGAGGGUUAAUUGAUAAAUGUUAGAGUCAUUUUUUUUUCUAACCUAAUGCCCUCUAUAUAAGGUUGGUUUUCUUUAAAAUUGAGGAAGAGGAGAAAACUAAGAAAUCAGAAAACGGUUGAGAAAUUUAUUCUGAAAAUACAUUAAAUUUUUUGCAUCUUUUAGGGUGGAAAUUGGUUCUGAAUCUGCUCCCUAGUCUUGAGUGUCAACUGGAAUUAAAAAAGCUUGAAAGAACUCUUGUUUUAUCUCAGGAAAAAAUGCUUAAAGAGCUGAAAUUUCUGGAUUUUUGCAAGCUCUUUGAUUUGGUUUUACUGCCGAUCUCUGCUGCUAUACAUGUUAGCUUAAUGUUGCUUUAAGUUGAUUCUCAAAGCUUUUUGUUUAUCUUUGCUGUAACAUGUAUGUGCCGAUGAAUAUUUUAUUGUUACACAUGAAGCUUGGAUCACCUGUUGAUAUCAUGCCCAAACAUCAUGUGAAAUGUAGACUGAAAUAAGAUUCUGAUGUUUCUUUGGAUUUGUUAUGCUGCUUUUCUUUCUUCUUAUUAUAUUCUUCUUAACAUGUUAUACAUUAGCUCAAAUAUAUACACUAGUUGUCUUAUUUGGCAUGUUGGCUGUAUUCUGUGAAAUUUUAUCUGAAGUUCAGCUCCAUUGAAUAAGUUCCUUUCAAGCAUGAACUGAAGUCUAGUAGGCUGGAUAAUCCAUUUGUGUAUGUGGAAUUCGAUCAUGGGAUCUGAUUGGAAGUUCGGUAUAUUUUGAUGUUUUGAUCGCAUGAAGCUAUAAUUUGCUUGUCUAAUUUAGCUAUGAUGGUAUUGAAUCAUUAGUAUUCUAGAAGUAAUAAUUCAAGUUCAUUUCCUAGCUAUUUGAUUAGAGUAUGUUGAUGUAUGAACGGAUAUGCUAUAAAAAUAGUUAGGUUUUGUUGCUUUAACACAAAUCUGCACGAAUCAUGUAUUGAUUGAGGGUUUAUCUUCCCAAAAUUUUCACAGAUUAGAGUCAUGAUUUAGGUAAUUAUGUUCCAAUGUGAUAAACUGGUUUCUUUGGUUCCAUUCUAAAUGUUGUUUUGUUUUUGUAAUUAG
rnacentral:lncRNA from 1 species